GAUGAACGCUGGCAGCGUGCCUAACACAUGCAAGUCGAGCGAACAGACGCGGCGCUUGCUCCUCGGUCGUUAGGGGCGGACGGGUGAGUAACACGUGGAUCACCUACCUAUAAGACUGGGAACACUUCGGGACACCGGAGCAAAUACCGGAUAAUAUAUUGAACCGCAUGGUGCACUAGAGAGAGACGGUUUUUGUGUAACGUCUCGCUGGAUCCGCGCCGCAUUAGCUAGUUGGUAAGGUAACGGCUUACCAAGGCAACGAUGCGUAGCCGACCUGUCGGGGUGAUCGGCCACACUGGAGCUGAGACACGGUCCAGACUCCUACGGGAGGCAGCAGUAGGGAAUCUUCCGCAAUGGGCGAAAGCCUGACGGAGCAGCGCCGCGUGAGUGAUGAAGGUCUUCGGAGCGUAAAGCUCUGUUAUUAGUGAAGAACAAAUGUGUAAGUAGCUAUGCACGGCUUGACGGUACCUAAUCAGAAAGCCACGGCUAACUACGUG
rnacentral:rRNA from 1 species